rnacentral:rRNA from 1 species
UACGUAGGGUGCGAGCGUUAAUCGGAAUUACUGGGCGUAAAGCGUGCGCAGGCGGUUCGUUAAGCCAGAUGUGAAAGCCCCGGGCUCAACCUGGGAACGGCAUUUGAAACUGGCGGGCUGGAGUGUGGCAGAGGGGGGUGGGAAUUCCACGUGUAGCAGUGAAAUGCGUAGAGAUGUGGAGGAACACCGAUGGCGAAGGCAGCCCCCCUGGGCCAACACUGACGCUCAGGCACGAAAGCGUGGGGAGCAAACAGG